ACAAAAUUCACCAAAAUAUCGAAGCCUUCAAAAAAACCCAAUUAAAUAGACCCCGCUAAGAAACUGAACGAUAAAACAAAAUCAAAACAAGAAAACAAUGGUCUCCAUUUUCACACUUCUUACAUCUUGCUUUUCAACCAAAUUCUCAGACCCCGUCAAACCCUAAUCGGAUAAUCCCCAAUAUAUUUUCUUAAUCCCGUAAAUCUAAUUCAAAUUACCAUAACCCACAAAGUAAUCAGAGAUUUUUCUUUAACUCUUGUGAAGAAUCUGUAAAUCUUAUACCCAAUUGCUUUUUUUUUUUUUUUUUUUUUUAAAAAAAAUUUUUUGGGGGGAAGUUUUUUUUUUUU
rnacentral:lncRNA from 1 species